CUCUGCUUUUGAGACUCACAGCUGUGCCUGGGAGGCUGACUGCUGGAAAACCAGAGUGUAAAGUAAUAAAUACCACCAUGGAGGCUUAGACCUCCUGUGGGUCGGAAACCUACCUCUGACCUGACACAGCCUACAUUUUUAUGAGGAAGACACAAACGAAACACUACCUACUUGAAAAGUCUGAAAGAGGCAACGAAAAGGAGAUACUCAUGAUAGGAUACCGUGAGAAAGCAGCUGUCUGCAGCAAGGGAGAGAUCUCACAAGAACCUGAGCACGCCUACACCCUGAUCCUAGACUUGCAGUUUCCAGAACAGUGAGAAAUAAAUUUCUGUUAUUUAUAA